rnacentral:rRNA from 1 species
UGAGGAAUAUUGGUCAAUGGGCGAGAGCCUGAACCAGCCAAGUCGCGUGAAGGAAGAAGGUUCUAUGGAUUGUAAACUUCUUUUGCAGGGGAAUAAAGGACGGUACGUGUACUGUUUUGUAUGUACCUUGCGAAUAAGGAUCGGCUAACUCCGUGCCAGCAGCCGCGGUAAUACGGAGGAUCCGAGCGUUAUCCGGAUUUAUUGGGUUUAAAGGGUGCGUAGGUGGAUUGUUAAGUCAGUGGUGAAAGUUUUCAGCUCAACUGAAAAAUUGCCGUUGAAACUGUCGAUCUUGAGUGCAAAUGAGGUAGGCGGAAUGUGUUGUGUAGCGGUGAAAUGCUUAGAUAUAACACAGAACUCCGAUUGCGAAGGCAGCUUACUGGGAUGCAACUGACACUGAUGCACGAAAGCGUGGGUAUCAAACAGG